AAUCACAAUCCAUGCAUCCGAUGUUCCAUUAGUAGCUAGCUGACAUUCUUUACAAGCUAGCUACAAGUAGCCAAGGUUUUUAACUAGCUUGCUAUAGUUAAUAUUGGUAUACUGUCAUAAAAAAAAAAUUCUAGUGGAAACCAAUAGAGAUUUCCAGUGCAUCCUAAAGGGUUUUAAUGUGUAUUUGGUGGUCUAGAAUGGUAAUUAAUGGAAUGUGUUGUCUCUAGUAAUUCUGGUUUAUCUGAUUUUAUUCUGAUGCUAAACAUCCACCCUUUGGAUUCUGGUGGUAACCAAAAAAUCCCUAAUUUUUCCCAAUUUUUUUUAAUCUAAUGGAAGCAAAUAAGCCAAUUUCUGAUGGAAACCAUUAGGGAUGCUUUUUUCCCCUCUGAGUUCUUUCUCCAUAUAUCUCCAUAUGUCUUCAGAUGUCUCCAAUAAUAAUUUAGCCAUGUUUCUGAGCUGCAGUAACACCUUAAUCUAGAAAAAAAAAUGUUUUGUACUGAGCUUCUGCAUUGUCCCGAGAAGGUGGUUGAGAAUGUGGGACAUGACCAGAGUAAAAGGCAUGAGACACUGCUUGCAAUCAAUAUAAAUGAUUUAUUGACUCCAAAACUUGCAUUCACAAAGCAAAACAAAGCAAAACAAAGCAUUAAACAGGGACACCAGCUCUGAGCUUCCUCAUGGAGGUGCUUCUCCAGAACUGCCUUCAAACAGACAAAAUGCACCCUUUCUAUCUCAGGGCUCAAACCAAUUCACAUGCAUAGGGGAAUGGAAAUCAUAUAUACACAAAGAAAUACAAAAAUAAACUUAACAGUUGGCACGAAAAUUCAAAAUAAAUUUUAACAUUAAUAUUACCAAAAAACAAAUACCAGAAGUAAUAAAAAAAAUACAUCUUCAUAAACUAUAUUCAAAAUAAACACAAAAUAAUUCACACAGGCUUGAUAGACUAGGCCUACACUACCCAUAAUUCUUCAGGAUAGCAUAAAAUGGGGAACAGGAAGGCCGCAUAUCCUCUUAAACCCCACCCCUGGAACCAUGCUGCAGCCAUGAACCACCCAGAGACAAAAGAACUGGGUUGGAAGAAAUGGGACAAGACUCCUAAGGCUUCGCUAAGUCUGUGCUAAGACGCAGGGUCUCAGUAGGUGGUAACAUGAGCACCGUUUGGGGCCAAAGUGGGAUGAGAAAUACCACUGUGGCAAAGCUUUACAAUUCCACAAGGCAAAGAAGUAGAAAAGGGUGCACUAUGUUUCCUUAUCAAAGAAGAACUCAUCCAAAACAAAUCAGCAUACCUCCGGACUUGAAACAGACAUAGCUCCUUGACUUUGUGGGUUCUGAAACACUGCACUGUUUUCUUAUUCCAUUUCAUCUGAGGAAUACCAUGUUCUUUGACACGUAAUGACCUUUCAGUUGGAAACGCUGCAGAGAGCGCUGACAUUAUGUAGGCGGAAUCGGAUUAUUAAUUUCUCUAGCUUUAGGUAAAUAUUCUCCUCCAUGGUGGAACCAUGACCUUCUGCAGCAUUAUCAGCAUCCAAAACUAUAGCAAAAACACACUUUUACUAGACAUUAUUAUAAUUUUUACAAACUUGUGUACAGAUGUGUACACAUGUGGUUUUUAGACACUUUGCAUGCUACAUUUGACACAUUUUUUCACGUGUAGUGCAUGAGAUUUUUUUUGUACAAAUGAUUCAUUUAUUUUUACACGUUUUUUACACAUAAAUCAAUUUAUUUUCACAUGAUUCAAUUACUUCCAUGUGAUUUUUUUUUAAAAAAUAUGAUUCAAUUUUUCCUCAUGUCAAUU